CUGGGCCUCAGUAGGUUUACACUUGACCAUCAUCAUCAAAGACUUCUGGCGGACAAUUCUUGUUGAAUGUGUUCAGUGACGUCCCUGAAACUUGAAUGAGGUUUUCAACGAACAGCCUGAGACGAACAGCUCUGUCCAAGGAGCUUCCAAUAUUUCUUUCUGGACGGAGCUGAGGAGGCACGCGCUCAAAAAAUGGGCAUCUGUGGUAGAAAUCUGCGCUUCACAGCAGCGCAGCUCGAUCCCAUUCCGCUGAUCCGACUCCACUGAUUUCUACACCUGGGUUCCAGUCUGUGCUGCCAGAUGGUUGCGUCUCAUCCUCACGGUAAACUCUCCCUCGACCCUCUGUUCUGUCAGUCCUCAACAUUUCAGCAACUAGGUCAGAUCCCAUGGAGAGCCAUGACAGAUACAUUCUACAUGCGCCUCGGUGCCAGAGCCGACCUGCCCAAGUUGUUUUGUGUGGCCCGUAAACGCCACAUACAAAUGAAUAUACAAUGUAAUACAAAUUGAAAUUGCAUCAACAAUGAGUUUAUCUCAAAUGGGUGAAACUCAUGGCUCAUGCAGUAUUUAAACUCUAUGUUCGACAUGCUGUUGAAUAACUGGCAGAUGUCAACUAUUAAUCUGGAGACUUAUAAAAAAUGGAAAAUGUGAGCGGAUGACUUAAAUUGAAAGCGGAAGCACGGUACUGUAUGCUCGUGCUUCAAGAACAAAAGCAGAGCUCAAGUCUUGACAGGGGAGAUACGACUGUAUUUGGUUCGAACUAGGGGCGUCAAGUCUGUUCUGAAAGGGCAACGAUGGGUGAAGGUUUGUGGUCCAGCCAAACAACAACAACGGUUAAAGAAUCAGCUGAAAGAAGCCGCACCUGACUUACAUUCUAGGCACCUGGUUGGAAAAGUGGCGUCCUCUUGACUGGUUGGAACGAAAACCUGCACCCAUGGAGGUUGUGGAUCAGUUUGAAAACCCCUGUUCAUACUCAAGACUCUUCAAUGAAAAUAAUUCUUUUUCGACCCACAACCUUUGUUUAUCUUGUUGGCUCCAUUGUGAUGGUCAAGAAUGAAUUGCAUCUCAUUUGUUGGUCCACAUAUACAAGGCAAAGUCUUUGUGAGUCAAUCUCAUUAUAGCCUCUAGUUACACUUCACCUCCUGAACUCUGUUUGAGAGGGGAGCAGAAACCACCAGCUAACUUCCCUUGAACGAGUCAUUUCAUUUGGUGUGGCAGCACGACAGAUGACGAACAAAGACGUUUUUUUUUUUUUUUUAUCAUAUAUAGAAAUAUUUUAAGGUGCUCCUUUUGGAGAACUCAAUAAAUAAAUCAAUUCUUAAUAAUAGAUCAGAUCAGACCUCACUAGGUUCAUUGGACACUCUAAAAUUGUCCUUAGGUGUGUCUCUGUGUGUGUGAAUGGUGUGUGUGCCCUGUGAUGGACUGGCGACCUGUCCGGGGUAUAUUCCCGCUUCUCGCCCAAUGACUGCUGGGAUAGGCUCCAGCACUCCCCGCAACCCUGAACAGGACUAAGACAAUGUAUGGAAUAAUAAUAAUAAUAAUAUAUGCUCCAGUUUUUCACUAGACUUAGGACAAAAGUUUUUAUUAAGGCCAUUUUGAGUUUGAAAACAGUUUCAGAUUUAUGCACAUCUCAUGUCAAAAGCCUGCAGCCUACAGCAUUCUCAUUCUCAAAAAGCAUUCUCCCGCACAGGGGAUACUUUCACUCAGUAAAGUUAUAUUUUUGCGGAAUGAUGACUAUGCCAUCCGCGGAUUCAAAAGCGCUCUCUUUAUUAGAGACGUGGACUUCCCUCCGCAGGCAAAUCUUUCUCGCCUGCUUUCAAAAAGCUCGACAGGAACUUUUCAUGCCAGCGACUUUGAUUUUCCUCAGAUCCGAGAGCUUGUGGUAUCAGCUUCUUCUUUUAGCACAAAUGAACCCAAAAUAGCUUGACAAUGAGCGAGCGUGAUACCGGCAGCUUUAGUGAGAUUUACAGCCCCGACUUGAAUACAAAACAUUCUCAGAGCCAAGAACAAGGAGACCACAAGACCAACGUAAUUUAUCCAGCACAAAAGAAUAAGACUCAUUCUAUUAGGUCCUGAGAAAAUCCCAACGUUUCCCAGUCCACAGCAGCAGCGGCAUGGCUCUCCCCUCCCCGACUAAUCCGGAGAGAUAAUGCACACUAAAGCUGCACUGAGACAUUGACGUGCAUCAGCACUGCUGCAUCGCUCUCAAAUGACUUUGACUCGCAUGAAGGAAAGACUCUUUAAUGGAGUACACUGAGGAAAGUACCUGGCGAUGAACAGAAAAAGAAACUUGGCAGAGGUGAAUAGAAUAUACUGAAGAGGACAUCUGAGUCCAUCUGACGGAAGUGGAGACACAGUUCCACUCUCAAACGUCCAGAUGAUCAGAUUGACAAGGAAAUAAAAAGUCAGUGGAGUGGAAGUCUGAGCGCAGUGACAGCUUUCCCUCACACCUCUCUCAGUCUCUCGCACUCUUUGCCAGGUUUUGUGAUGCAUUUCGCACUGUCCCCUGUCGUAAUUCUCCCUUGGAAUCCUGACAAGAAGAAGUGAAGCUGUCGGCCCAGUGAUGAGGGAAGACUCCCAGUCACAGUGAUGUUGCACAGCAGAGUCCAGCAACCAGAUACACAUCAUUCUAGACCUCCUCACAACUGUGUCAGCAUGUGUUUAUGAAUACGUUCCGAGUGGUUUUUAAACUGCCAGACUGAUCGCAGAUGUCUUGUGACCACAUGUACCACAAGAAGGAUGAGAUGGACUUGAGUCAAAAGUUUGUUUUUGUUUUGAUCCAGCCACGUUAGUUAUGGUACCAGGCGACAGGAGAGUGAGGCGACGACCAUUUUAGGUUCAUGGAUGUGGCAAAUGUGGAUAUGAGGUGGAUUGGUGUGACCAGUUGUUUUAGCAUGGAGGCUGCCUCACAAGACCAAGAACAUGAAUGAGGAGGGACCGGAUCAAGUCAAGACCAGAGUAUACCAUGACCAAGUCCAGAUCAAGACUUUGAGAGGACGAGUGCAAGACAAGAUAGAGGGGCCAAGAUUUAGACCAAGACCUGACAGAUGAGGGGGAUUUGAGGGGCUAAAAUGAGUCAUGACCAUGACAAGACCAUGACUUUGUAGGAGGAAGACCUUGCCCAACAUAGCCACACCAACACAGAGGAGAGGAGACUGGGUCAAGACCAAAAAACAACACAAGCUGAAGGGAUGACAACGAGUCAAGACCAACACCGGAGCAUAUAAGGACCAAGACAAGACCAAGACUUUGAGGGGGCAAGAUUGAAUCAAGAGCAACACCAGAGCAUAUAAGGACCAAGACUUUGAGGAACUGAAAUUGAGCCAGGAAUGAGACCAGUGCUAAGAACAAGACCACACCAAGAGUUUGAGGCGGCCAGAAUCAGUCAUGACCAAAGCAUAUCAAGACAACAUCAAGACCUUGAGGGAAACAAGAUCAAGUCAAGACCGAGACCAACUGAAGCAUUUGCCUUUGUUACAGUAUUAUAAUGAAUAAUAGAUCUAUUACUUACUGUUGCUACUCACUGCAAAAAAUCUCUUUUGUCAAUGGUUCUCGAGUGGUGGGGUGCCAUGACUCCAAUGUUGAAAACAUUAAGAAUGGGAUCAGACGUGGACACACAGACACAAGGAAUUAAAGCAAAUUAUUGCUUACAUUGCUGACUUUUUCAGUCAAUGCUGUGCUUUUUCCCUCCUGUCCACAACGUGGCAUUAAUGUUGUUGAAGUUCAAGUCAGGAAUUUGACACAUUUGUGAUUUAAGCUCUCGAGUGGUCUCUAGUCCAACAUGGCUGAGGCCGAGGCAAGACUGAGUGGAAAUGCAGUGGAUUCCAACAUAAAGACCUGGGAAAUGUGGUCUUGAGACCGAGACCUCUGAAGAAGCUCUAAAUAAAUCAUUUAUCUCUGUUUUUUCAUCUGGCCACAGGGCACAUUUCUCACAACCCCACUCCAAACUGUUCUGUUAGCCCCUCUAAACAUCAAUAAUGUACGAGCUAUUUAAAAUCUCUCUGUGUCUUCUGUGGCACACAGCCUGCUGUUGAUGAAAAUGCAAAUGAAUCCAUUUUUUUUCAACUCAAAUUCUUGAGGAAACUCACCGACUAGAAGACACAGUGGUUUCACCUGCAUCAUCCAAAGAUAUAGUGAAGUGGCUGUGACACUCCAGAGAAGAAAAGUGGAAAGAAAAUAAAAAAUACAGUGGUGCCUCGGUUUUUGAACGUCUCGGAAUUUAAACAAAAAUUUCUAGAUUUUUUUGCUUCGGAUUUCGAACAAAAAUCCAGAACUCGAACACCCCCGAAAAAAGACGGAAAAACAUAACGUGCACAGACCGAUUAGCUGACCCAGGACGCGCUUUGUUAUUGUGUAUAACUCCGCCUCUGUAUGCAGACGUGUCCCGUUAGCUACAUUUACUGACUGUUUUCUCUUCAUAUUGAGGUGUAAAACCUUUCCUGUCUCCGCACUGGACCGUGGUAGAGUGAUGUCCUGUUGUGGGCUGGAGCUGGCACAGGGAUGAGGCGAGUCUGGGACAGAGCGUUACUUGGUUUAUGGCUUUGUCACAGCCAAACUGCACAGAAGCGCACAUUCAGAGCUGGACACGCACC